CCGCAUUGACUAGUACGGCGAGUGAGCGGCACAGCUCAAAUUUGAAAGCUAGCCUUCGGGUUCGCAUUGUAAUUUGUAGAGGAUGCUUUGGGUAAAACGCCAGUCUAAGUUCCUUGGAACAGGACGUCAUAGAGGGUGAGAAUCCCGUAUGUGACUGGAAAUGUUAACCUAUGUAAAGCUCCUUCGACGAGUCGAGUUGUUUGGGAAUGCAGCUCUAAAUGGGAGGUAAAUUUCUUCUAAAGCUAAAUAUUGGCGAGAGACCGAUAGCGCACAAGUAGAGUGAUCGAAAGAUGAAAAGCACUUUGGAAAGAGAGUUAAAAAGCACGUGAAAUUGUUGAAAGGGAAGCGCUUGCAAUCAGACUUGUUUAAACUGUUCGGCCGGUCUUCUGACCGGUUUACUCAGUUUGGACAGGCCAGCAUCAGUUUCGGCGGCCGGAUAAAGGCUCUGGGAAUGUGGCCUCCACUUCGGUGGAGGUGUUAUAGCCCAGUGUGUAAUACGGCCAGCCGGGACUGAGGUCCGCGCUUCGGCUAGGAUGCUGGCGUAAUGGUUGUAAGCGACCCGUCUUAA
rnacentral:rRNA from 1 species